GAUGAAGAACGCAGCGAAAUGCGAUACGUAAUGUGAAUUGCAGAAUUCAGUGGAUCAUCGAAUCUUUGAACGCAUAUUGCGCUCUCUGGUAUUCCGGAGAGCAUGCUUGUUUGAGUAUCAGUAAACACCUCAACUUCCAUAUCUUUUUUGAAAUGGGAGUUGGACUUGAGUGAUCCCAACGCUUUUCCUCACCGAAAAGUGGCGGGUUACUUGAAAUGCAGGUGCAGCUGGACUUUUCUCUGAGCUAUAAGCAUAUCUAUUUAGUCUGCCUAAAAAACAGAUUAUUACCUUUGCUGCAGCUAACAUAAAGGAGAUUAGUUCUUGUGCUGACUGAUGCAGGAUUCACAAAAACGGCUUCGGCCGACUUUGUAAACUCGAUCUCAAAUCAAGUAAGACUACCCGCUGAACUUAAGCAUAUCAAUAAGCGGAGGA
rnacentral:misc_RNA from 1 species